UCUACGUGCUUUGCUACUGUCCUCCCACUCAAUCCCACUAAGAGCCCAACCUGCAGACAAGGAAAGCAAGGCCCACCGAGGUUGCUGAGGCCCAGACCUCACUACAGGAUCACACAGGCCACACUGGAUAUAGCUUGAGUGUUUUCCUAUUAAGAGACUUUUGUGGAAGGCUAUUUCCAGUGUGAGCUACAUCAGUUAGAAUGACAAUUUGCUGCUGUUAACAGAGGCCAGAAAAUAUUUUGACAAGGAAUAUCCCAUGUGCCACAGAGCAAUGAAGACUGUGCAUCACAACUACUGAGCUUGUGCUCUAGAGCCCGGGAGCAGAACUACGGAAGCCCCACACACCCUAGAGCCUGUGCUCUGAAACAAGAGAAGCCACCGCAAUGAGAAUCUCAGUACUGCAACUAGAGGGCUGCCCCUGCUCUCUCAACUAAAGCCUGCACACAGCAACGAAGACCCAGCGGAGCCAAAAAUUUACUCACAUGGAUUACUGGUUAAAUGAUAUAAACAUCAGGCUAAAAGGAAAACACAGAUAAAUGGCAUAUCUGGUGCUGGAAAGAAGUGUGCAUCUGAGCGGCUGUGCCCCAAAGACCCUCCGCAGCCUCGUUAAUCAAACCCAAAUGAAGUGUGCCAGCCCCCAGACGCAGCCUUUCCUGACAGACGGAAUCAGGUUACAGGGACUAUGAGGGCAGCCUCCCAACGAGGCAGUCCAAGUGGAGGGGAGGCCUGUCCAUGUUUUGCCAGAGGAGCUGGUAAGGGUAACGAGAGGUGUGUGGAUAUGGGAUGCUCAACAGCCUCUGCUUUGCUGCAGACAAUUCACACUUUGGAAAACACUUUCACACACAACCGCCUUGUAAGUUAAGAAUGCUUCGAUCCAUUCUGUGGGCAGGGAAGCCGGGUGUCAGGGCUGGAGUGCUUUGCCCACCAUCUCAGAACCAGAGUCACACCUGCAGGGGACCUGACCAGCUCCGCUGUGUCCAAUUACUGUUAUGUCCUAGCCACUCAGGUCUUCCUGCAGGAGAGAGAACUCUGUAUCGAGGGCCUGAGAAAACCCCACAAUUCUGGACUCAUCAACACACAUCAACUUGUGUCUUGUGGUUUAACAUCAAAGGAAGACACUGAUGCCAUAGGUUGCCUCGGAAAUUUCUCCUUUCUAGUCCAAUAGGUUCACCCAUUUUGGUCAGAAUAAGACAAAGUAACUAGGAAAUCCUAGAAGUCAGUCUGAUUGCAAAUAAACUUCAUCCAUUCAUUCGUACAGCAAAUGAUGAUUUUUAAAUGAUGCAUCUUAGAACUUCCCUGAGGGUUCAGUGGUUAAGACUCCAUACUUCCAAUGCAGGUGGGAUGGGUUCAAUCCCUGGUCAGGGAAGUUCUGCAGGCCAUGUGGCACAGCCAAAAAUAUUUUUAAAAAACCCCCAAACUUAAAUGAUACAUCUUUAAUUAACCUACAGUAAUAUCAGCUUUUUUGGCAUAUAGUUCUAUAAUUUUUACAUAUGUAUAGAUUUAUACACCAGAGCACCACAACAAUCAGGAUAUAAAACCAUUCCGUCAUUCCCCCAAAUGCCAUCAUACUAUUCCUUUACAGUCACACCCCAACCCUAAUUCUUGGCAACCACUGAUCGGUGCUGUCACUAUAAUUCUGUCUUUUCCAGAGUGUUGUAUAUGUGGAAUCAUACCAUUCAGAUUGGCUUCCUUCACUUUGCAUAAUGUCUUUCAGACUCAUCAUUCUACUCCUGUCAUUAGUCCAUUUCUUAUUAUUGCUGAUAGCAUUCCCUUGUUUGAAUGCUCCAUCCACUCAACUGUUAAAGGACCGGUUCCCAGUUUUGGGUAAUUAUGAAUAAAGCUGUUAUAAACAUUUGCACUGGCUUUUGCAUUCAUAUAAGUCUUCAUUUCUUUAGAGCAAAUACCCAACAGUGGGAUUGCUGGCUCAUAUGAUAAGUGUAUAUCUAACUUUACAAGAAAAAGUGCCAAACUGUUUUCCAGAAGGUUUUCUCCAUUAUUUUGCAUUCCCACUAGUGGUACAGAACCAUCUACAGUUCUGCAUUCUCAUCAGCACUUGGUACUGUCAGUAUUUAUCUCAGCCAUUCCAACAGGGAUAUAGUGGUCCCCGUUUUGGUUUUAAUUUGCAUUUCCCUGACAGCUAAUGAUGAUGAACAUCUUUCCUGUGCUCAUUUGCCACCUGAAUGAUCUCUUUGGUGAAGAGUCCAGGUCUAUCAAUUACUUUUUAGUUGGGUUCUUUGUUUUCCUACCACUGAGUUUUGACAGUUCUUCACAUAUGUUGUAGUCUUUUAUCUGAUUUGCCUGACAGACAUGAUUGUUCAUUGACAGAUGUCAAACAAGUGUUGUGUACCGAAGCCACAGCCCAGGUCCUCCAGGCAGGGUGGGUGGGCAGGCAAGCAAGUCUUUAUUACUAAGUGGGGGACAGUCUUUAGGAGUAGGUGAGAUGGCAGUUCUUCCAGCCUCCUGUAGUCAGCUGUCACUUUCCAGGCGAAGUGUUUCUAAGCUGAUUUUUGAAAUGUGGUAGGAGUGAACCAAGGUUUGCCCAGACUUCUCAAACUACUGUCUGACCUGCUGUUCUACCCCCUCAGCUUUUAUUUCCUACUGUCUCUCUC